CCUCCCUCUCUUUUCUCUGCCUCUCAUCAUCUUCUCACACGGCCCCCCUCCCUUUUCCCUUUUUUUCUCUUUUUUUCUCCCUGACUCUCAUCAUCUUUUGAUUCUUUUCACAGCCCCCCUCCCUUUCCCUUUUUUCUCCAUGCCUCUCAUCUCCCCGUAGCCCCUCCUCCUUUUCUCUCUAUCUCUCAUCUCUCAUCUCUCAUCUCUCAUCUCAUCUCUUUAAGUUCACCCUUGCAUCAACAAUACAUUUACUCUAAUCAAACUACAUGGGCUGGGCAGAUAAAAAAAGAGACGACUUUUUGAUGAUUAAAAUUCUAACUCCAUUUCAAGUUUAUCUCUGCAGUCUGCAUCUUGUGGGUUUUUGUUUUUUUGUUUUUUUAUUAUUAUUAAGUUAUAAUUUGCUUGUAAUUUGUGGGUAGAUUUGUGUUCUUGAACAACAGAAAUCGAGAUUUGCUUGUAAUUUGUGGGCACUGGACAUCGAGAUUUGCUUAUAGUUUGUGGGCACUGGGCAGAUCUGUUUUCGUGAACAACAGAAACUGAGAUUUGCUUGGAGUUUGUGGACACUGGGCACCGAGAUUUUCUUUUUGGUUUUACCGGUUUUUGAACAACAAAAACCGAACCGAACCGAACCGAAACCAGUCGGUUUGAACCGGUUUCGGUUUUAAAAUUUUAAAAUUAAUAAUGUCGGUUUGGUUCAUUUUUUUAUGUAAAAACCGAACCGAACCGGAUUUGCUCACCCCUAUAGUCAAGUCAAGUGAACUAAUCAAUCCCUCUUUGUUUUCUGGGCCUAACAUUGUUUAAACUUUAAACUCACAGUUGAGCCAGGCGUCAAAUUGCCUACACAUGCCAUAUUCUGAUGUUUCUGCAUAAAGGAAUAAAGAGAAUUUCUCCUCGAUUUCAUAAUUUUCAAGUAAACAACACGAGAAAAGAGGGAUCAUUAUUUGAUACGGAAGUAUUACAGAACCAUUUAAAUUUUCAAAUUGUUGUGAAGGUUCCUUCUGCCCUCAUGGCCUUACGAGCAUGAUACGUAAGUAUUAGAGAAUCAUUUAAAUUUUUUUCUUGCAAGUAACUUUCAGACGAGAACCCUCAAAGACCCUAUUAGGAAAUUCCAUGAUUUGUCAAUUAUAUACUGUUUAUAUUUCAAACUUACUAUCUCUUCCCCUCGAAACAGAAGCUUGAAGAAUGAUGUCUUUUUACUUCAUUUUACUCCGAUGCAUUACUCUAGAAAAUGGAAGAAGAAAUGCUAUAGUAUUCAGUUCUCUCCUUCAUAAAGUGUUGGGUUAGUUUAAUUACUUGUAGUUGUAGCUUUACAUCUCUCAAGAAUCAAGUGUUACUUCAUUAAUGAUCUGGAAUGUGCACUCUCCGGUUUUCUCUGAUAUUUUAUCGUGUUUUGAAGCUUGCCCGUUAGGCUCAAGAGGACAACUGGAGCAUGCGAACCCCGCGCAAGUCUGGAUUCUACUUCACCACUGUCACUCUACUCUUUGGAUCUGAGGUUUGCCUAUAGGCUAUAAUGCAUGUACCCUAUUAUUUAAGAUACUGAAGCGAUUGUGAAGAUCUUCACUAUUAUAUCACUACCUAAUAUAACUUAUUUGUUACCUGGUUUAGAUAUGAUUGUGUAUUUAUUAUUAGCAUAUAAUCUUAGUAGUAAUCAUGGGAGAAAAUAUAUGCAAGAUUGUCUUUCCUUGCUGCAAGCUUUUCCCACUCUAUAUAUACAUAUGUAUAGCAUAAGAAUGGGAUGAAUUAUAACUCUGUUUUACCACUGCACUGUCUCACGUCUCUUCAUUGCUCUAUUUCAAAUUUCUUCACCUAUGUAUGUAUGAUCAGGCAGGUACAAUUAUCAACUGCCUCCAGGACAGCCAAACCAUGUUUAGCUUGUAAUCCAAAGUCUGGAUUCUCAGGAGUAGUUUCGAUGGCUGCUAAUACUGAAAUCAAGAAAAGGCCUCAGAUUGAGAUUUCAUUUAAAGGCCUAACCCU